UACGUAGGGUGCGAGCGUUAAUCGGAAUUACUGGGCGUAAAGCGUGCGCAGGCGGUUAUUUAAGUCAGGUGUGAAAGCCCUGGGCUUAACCUAGGAAUUGCGCUUGAGACUGGAUAGCUUGGAGUGCGGCAGAGGGAGGUGGAAUUCCACGUGUAGCAGUGAAAUGCGUAGAGAUGUGGAGGAACACCGAUGGCGAAGGCAGCCUCCUGGGCCGACAUUGACGCUGAGGAGCGAAAGCUAGGGGAGCAAACGGG
rnacentral:rRNA from 1 species